CAGGACGAACGCUGGCGGCGUGCCAAUACAUGCAAGUCGAACGGCUUUUCUAUGGAAGCUUGCUUCCACUGAGAAGAUAGUGGCGAACGGGUGAGUAACACGUGGGUAACCUGCCCAUAAGAGGGGGGAUAACAUCCGGAAACGGGUGCUAAUACCGCAUAGUUUUCUUGAUCGCAUGAUCGGGAAAGGAAAGACGGCCUUUGUGCUGUCGCUUAUGGAUGGACCCGCGGCGUAUUAGUUAGUUGGUGAGGUAAUGGCUCACCAAGACGAUGAUACGUAGCCGACCUGAGAGGGUGAUCGGCCACAUUGGGACUGAGACACGGCCCAAACUCCUACGGGAGGCAGCAGUAGGGAAUCUUCCGCAAUGGACGAAAGUCUGACGGAGCAACGCCGCGUGAGUGAAGAAAAGGUUUUCGGAUCGUAAAACUCUGUUGUCAGAGAAGAACAAGUUGGAGAGUAACUGCUCCAGCCUUGACGGUAUCUGACCAGAAAGCCACGGCUAACUACGUGCCAGCCGCUGC
rnacentral:rRNA from 1 species